rnacentral:rRNA from 1 species
GACGAACGCUGGCGGCGCGCCUAACACAUGCAAGUCGAACGAGCGAGAGAGAGCUUGCUUUCUCGAGCGAGUGGCGAACGGGUGAGUAACGCGUGAGGAACCUGCCUCAAAGAGGGGGACAACAGUUGGAAACGACUGCUAAUACCGCAUAAGCCCACGGGUCGGCAUCGACCAGAGGGAAAAGGAGCAAUCCGCUUUGAGAUGGCCUCGCGUCCGAUUAGCUAGUUGGUGAGGUAAUGGCCCACCAAGGCGACGAUCGGUAGCCGGACUGAGAGGUUGAACGGCCACAUUGGGACUGAGACACGGCCCAGACUCCUACGGGAGGCAGCAGUGGGGAAUAUUGCACAAUGGGGGAAACCCUGAUGCAGCGACGCCGCGUGGAGGAAGAAGGUCUUCGGAUUGUAAACUCCUGUUGUUGGGGAAGAUAAUGACGGUACCCAACAAGGAAGUGACGGCUAACUACGCGCCAGCAGCCGCGGUAAAACGUAGGUCACAAGCGUUGUCCGGAAUUACUGGGUGUAAAGGGAGCGCAGGCGGGAAGACAAGUUGGAAGUGAAAUCUAUGGGCUCAACCCAUAAACUGCUUUCAAAACUGUUUUUCUUGAGUAGUGCAGAGGUAGGCGGAAUUCCCGGUGUAGCGGUGGAAUGCGUAGAUAUCGGGAGGAACACCAGUGGCGAAGGCGGCCUACUGGGCACCAACUGACGCUGAGGCUCGAAAGUGUGGGUAGCAAACAGGAUUAGAUACCCUGGUAGUCCACACCGUAAACGAUGAUUACUAGGUGUUGGAGGAUUGACCCCCUCAGUGCCGCAGUUAACACAAUAAGUAAUCCACCUGGGGAGUACGACCGCAAGGUUGAAACUCAAAGGAAUUGACGGGGGCCCGCACAAGCAGUGGAGUAUGUGGUUUAAUUCGACGCAACGCGAAGAACCUUACCAAGUCUUGACAUCCCUUGACGAUGCUGGAAACAGUAUUUCUCUUCGGAGCAAGGAGACAGGUGGUGCAUGGUUGUCGUCAGCUCGUGUCGUGAGAUGUUGGGUUAAGUCCCGCAACGAGCGCAACCCUUAUGGUCAGUUACUACGCAAGAGGACUCUGGCCAGACUGCCGUUGACAAAACGGAGGAAGGUGGGGAUGACGUCAAAUCAUCAUGCCCUUUAUGACUUGGGCUACACACGUACUACAAUGGCGUUAAACAAAGAGAAGCAAGACCGCGAGGUGGAGCAAAACUCAGAAACAACGUCCCAGUUCGGACUGCAGGCUGCAACUCGCCUGCACGAAGUCGGAAUUGCUAGUAAUCGUGGAUCAGCAUGCCACGGUGAAUACGUUCCCGGGCCUU